rnacentral:rRNA from 1 species
CGCAGGCGGUUAUACAAGACAGGCGUGAAAUCCCCGGGCUUAACCUGGGAAUGGCGUCUGUGACUGUAUGACUAGAGUGUGUCAGAGGGGGGUAGAAUUCCACGUGUAGCAGUGAAAUGCGUAGAUAUCAGGAGGAACACCAAUGGCGAAGGCAGGUCUCUGGGCCAAUACUGACACUGAGGAGCGAAAGUCUGGGGAGCGAACAGGAUUAGAUACCCUGGUAGUCCAGACCGUAAACGGUGGGCACUAGUUGUGGGAACCUUCCACGGUUUCUGCGACGCAGCUAACGCAUUAAGUGCCCCGCCUGGGGAGUACGAUCGCGAGAUUACGACUCAGAGGAAUUGACGGGGCCCCGCACGAGCAGCGGAGCAUGCGGCUUUAAUUCGACGCAACGCGAAGAACCUUACCAAGGCUUGACAUAUAGGGAAAAGUGGCAGAGAUGUCAUGUCCGCAAGGGCUCUAUACAGGUGGUGCAUGGUUGUCGUCAGCUCGUGUCGUGAGAUGUUGGGUUUAAGUCCCGCAACGAGCGCAACCCUCGUUCUGUGUUGCCAGCAUUUAGUUGGGGACUCACAGGAGACUGCCGGGGUUAACUCGGAGGAAGGUGGGGAUGACGUCAAAUCAUCACGGCCCUUACGCCUUGGGCUACACACGUGCUACAAUGGACGGUACAGAGAGCAGCCACUGGGUGACCAGGAGCGAAUCUACAAAACCGUUCUCAGUUCGGAUCGGAGUCUGCAACUCGACUCCGUGAAGCUGGAAUCGCUAGU